rnacentral:rRNA from 1 species
CCUACGGGCGGCAGCAGUGGGGAAUAUUGCACAAUGGGCGCAAGCCUGAUGCAGCCAUGCCGCGUGAAUGAAGAAGGCCUUCGGGUUGUAAAGUACUUUCAGUCGUGAGGAAGGUGUUAAGGUUAAUAACCUUAGCAAUUGACGUUAGCGAAAGAAGAAGCACCGGCUAACUCCGUGCCAGCAGCUGCGGUAACACGGAGGGUGCGAGCGUUAAUCGGAAUUACUGGGCGUAAAGGUCACGCAGGCGGUUAAUGAAGUUGGAUGUGAAAUCCCCGGGCUUAACCUGGGAAUGGCAUGCGAGACUGGUUAGCUAGAGUCUUGUAGAGGUGGGUAUAAGUCCAUGUGUAGCGGUGAAAUGCGUUGAGAUGUGGGGGAAUACCGGUGGCGAAGGCGACCCCCUGGACAAAGACUGGCGCUCAUGUGCGAAAGCGUGGGGAGCAAACAGAAUUAGAUACCCGAGUAGUC